ACACGUAGGGGGCGAGCGUUGUUCGGAAUUACUGGGCGUAAAGGGCAUGUAGGCGGUUUUGUAAGCCUGGCGUGAAAUUCUACAGCUCAACUGUAGGGCUGCGCUGGGAACUGCGAGACUGGAGUCACGGAGAGGGAGCUAGAAUUCCAGGUGUAGGGGUGAAAUCUGUAGAUAUCUGGAAGAAUACCAGUGGCGAAGGCGAGCUUCUGGCCGAUGACUGACGCUGAGGUGCGAAAGCGUGGGUAGCAAACAGGAUUAGAUACCCUGGUAGUCCACGCAGUAAACGAUGCACACUAGGUGCCGGGGCGGACGCUUCGGUGCCGGAGCCAACGUGGUAAGUGUGCCGCCUGGGGAGUAUGCUCGCAAGGGUGAA
rnacentral:rRNA from 1 species